UCAUGUUUCAAAGUGUAUGAUUAGUUCGUCUGGGUUAGUCAAGAGAUUAUGAUCGUGAUUCAUUGAGUUUUCCGUAAGACUACGGCGAUUUAUAAUUUUAAGAUGAUGAAUCAGGACUUGAGACGAAGAAGACGAUGAGUUUACUUGGAUGGAUGAGUUGUAAUGAGAGAAAAUUUAAAGUUAAGAGUUUUGAUUUUGGGAUUUUUUCCAAGAAGAAAUAAAAGAGGAAGAUGGGG
rnacentral:lncRNA from 1 species